ACUUGAAGACAGUGGAGUCAACAGAGGAAUGAUGAUGUGAGAACUUUGAAAGGUUUAACACCAGGCAGGCUGUGGCAUUCUGGAUAAAUUGCAGGUGUUUGGUGGCCCACACCAGGAGCCCUACCAACAUUGAAUUGCAGUAAUCCAGACAUGAGGUGACAAGUGCCUGGAUUAGUACCUGUGACGUUUCCUGUGUGAGACUCCAUGUUCAAAUCAUCUCUGAGACAACAUGCCGAAGUCUGCCCUGCCAUCCUGCCAUGUGGAUUUGCACGUGGUUAAGUCUACAUGCAAGCAACAUGCACAGUUUGCUUGGCAAAUAGAACAGGUGGCCUGGACUUGGAUUAUAGUUACAUCCCACGGACAGUGGCUUCCACUUCUGCAGCCUGUCAAACCUGAGACUGGUGCGUUGUGUUGGAGGUGCCCCGAUCCACACUGGCACAAUGACUACUCCUGGGCCAGGGACAACCUGAGACCUAAGGAGACCAUAACUCACAAUGCCCUGGUCUGAUCACUCCUGACUGUCUCUCUUCCCAAUCCACCUGGUUGUGCUGCUGAUUCAGUUUCUGCUGUUCUGCAUGGGCUUUAGAACCUUGCAUGGGCAUGUAACCUCAAAGCACCUCUAAUUAGUAAUGAUGGUCUAGAUCCCCAACUUAUUAAAAUGUUAUUCAUUAUGAUCUAAAAGGCAAAACUGAUAUUAAUUCAGCAGUACUACUCUGAGAGACUUGGUGGGUUCUGGUCCUGUUCACCAGACUCCAUCUCUUCUUCUGACUGGACUCAACUUCUGAUCAGCUAUGUAAACCAAAGAACCUUUACUUGAGCUGUUGGCUUGUUGAACUGUCUGAAACCAUUGAUAAUGUGUGACCAUGCUUGUGAUCAAAUUUGAACAUCUUGAAGACCGAUCAAGACAUAAAUGGCCAUGUACUCUUAUAAUCUCCAUUUUGCACAACCAAAAAGGUACUUAGAACUGGCCACCACCCCUCAGAGCGUCGCUACGUUUCAUACUAAAUUCCU